GAACACUUAACCAAGAAAACAAUUCUAUCCUAAACAUAUAUAGAACGAACUCUGGGAUACCCAAUUCUAUUUUUAAAAAUCUACUGUUCCUGGAUUUAAAGGCACAGAUUAACAUCAAUCCAUUAAUAGCAGGUGAUUGCUUCAGUGCCUAAUUUUUUUCCAAUACACAGGUCAUCUGGACGAAAAUGAACAGAAACACCAGAAAAACAGAUGAACUCAUACAUCAAAUGGACUUAAACUGUUUGCUAGACAAUAUUCUAACCAAACACCAAAGAAUACACAUUUUCCUCUACAGCACAAAGAAAAAGCCAAGCUGGAUAACUGUUUCUUUUUCUCUUUAUUAAUAGUGAGAGCUGUAAGUAGGUGAUAGGAGGAAGCAGGAUUUUCAGUAAUAAAUGAUUAGAGAAUUCUCUGCUUAGAAUUUUACUUUUGAGGUAUAUUGUAUCAUAAGCAACACAACAGAUGCUUGUAGACAUAAACAUAUCAGUGUAAUAAUUUAUAAAAGAACAUAGAUUUUACUUAACGUGAUCUCUGAUUAAGUAUGUUGCACUAGAAGAGGGCUAUUGGAAAACAGACAGUGGACUAGCGGAAGGUUGGAGAGAGAAAGGGCUAAUAGGGUGAAGGGGAUCAAUGGGUAUUAUGUAGUGAAUGCACAUAUCAUGAAACCCAUCACUUUUACAAUGAAUGUACAUUCAGGCACAUGUAGAAAGUAGCUCCAGAUGUAAUAGUAAUAUUUUAAGCAGCAUAUCUGACAUAGGAAUCUCCUGAGUGUAUACUCUAAUAAUUCUAAGAUCAUGGUUUUACCUAGGUAUUGCCAACUGUUAGUUCUCCAUCCCGCCAACAAAGCACUUGAAAAACCUUUGAGGGUAAAAAACAAAGACCAUUUAUUGGUGUGCAGGAGUGUAUUUACAGUAUUAAGGUACAUUUAAAUUGUAGUUUGUAUUUUCUCAUUUUACUACUUUUUCUCAAGUAAACUGGCUGUAUGCAUUUAAUUAUGUGAGUCUGGGUUGUCUCUAGUUCAUGGCUGUUAUAAAUACAAACUGUUACAGGCAUAGUUGAGCAAGUGUCCUUGUGGAAUGGUAGAACAUCUUUUGGGUAUAUGCCCAGGAGUGACAUAGCUGGGUCUUGAGGUAAAGCUAGUCCCAAUUGUUUGAUAAAUCAUUAAAUAGAUUUGAAGAGUGAUUGUAUAAGUUUGCACUCUCACUAGCAAUGGAGCAGUUUCCCAUUGCUCAACAUUCUCACCAGGAUUUGCUGUCACUUGAGUUCUUUAUCUUAGCCUUUCUGACAGGUGUAAGAUGGAAUCUCGGAGUCAUUUCGAUUUGCAUUUCCCUGAUGACUAAGGACAAUGAACGUUUCUUUAAGAGCUUCUCAGCCAUUACAUAUUCUGCUAUUGAGAAUUCUCUGUUUAACUCUGUACCCCCGUUUUAAUUGGGUUAUUCGGUUUGUUGGUGCUUAAUUUCUUGAUAUAUGAUAUUAGCCCUCUUUUGAAUGUAGGGUUGGCUAAGAUCUUUUCCCAUUCUGUAGGCUGCCACUUUGUCCUAUUGACAGUGUUCUUUGCUUUACCAAAGUUUUUCAGUUUCAGGACGUCCCAUUUAUUAAUUGUUGAUCUUAGUACCUGAGCUGUUGUUUUUCUGUUCAGAAAGUUGUCUCCUGUACCAAUAUGUUAAAGGCUAUUCCCCAAUUUCUCUUUUAUUAGAUUUAAUGUAUCUGGUUUUAUGUUGAGCUCUUAGAUACACUUGUGUAGGGUGAUAAAUAUGGAUUUAUUUGCAUUUUUCUACCUGCAGACAUCCAGCUAAACCAGCACCAUUUAUUGAAGAUGGUUUCUUUUUUUUUUUUUCAUUGUUUUGUUUUGGCUAAUUUGUCAAAAAUCAAAUGUCCAUCAGUGAGUGUGUUUGUUAGUCUUUGAUUUGAUUCCAUUAAUCAACCUGUCUGUUUUUAUACAAAUACCAUAAAGUUUUUAUUACUGUUGUUCUAUAGUACAACUUGAUAUCAGAGAUAGUGAUAACUCCAGAAGUUCUUGUAUUGUUCAGGAUUGUUUUAGCUAUCCUGUUUGUUUUACCACAUGAAACUGAGAAUUGCUCUUUCAAGGUCGGUAAAUAAUUUUUUUGGAAUUUCAAUGAGAAUUGUAUUGAAUCAUGGAAAUUGCUUUUGGUAAAAUGGCCAUUUUUCCUAUUUUAAUCCUCCCAAUCCAUGAUAAGCAUCACUUUAGAAUAAAAGGGCAGACAGGUUCUUCAAUCAAAUAGAACCAGAAAGAAAGCAGAUGUCACUCUCCUAGCAUCUGACAAAUUAGUCUUAAAACUAUAAUUAGGUGAAAUAAACAGGGACACUUCAUCUAAUAUAAUCAUAGUGUCAAUUUCAUUUCUAAAAAUCUACUACUGAAUUAAAAGAUAUGUAUUAACAUCAAUCCAUUAAUACAGGUGAAUUCAAUACCAACUUUUUCCAAAGGACAAACAAAGAAACAUCAGACUUAAUUAGCAUCAUACUUCAAAUGGAUAUAAUAGAUACCUACAGAAUGUUUCACCCAAUACCAAGGAGUAUACAUUUUAUUCUGCAAUACACAGGAACUUGUCUAAAAUAGAAAUGCAAAACAAAUCAUUAUAAAUAAAAAUCCUUGUAUCCUAACCAACCACACUGAAAUAAAACAUAAAAUUGACCUAGUAAAUACACAAACUCUCAGAGAUUCAACAUAAAGAAUGAUAACUGGAUCAAAGAAGAAAUUAAAAGAAAAAGAAAUUCCCUGGAAGUACAUGAAAAUGAAAACAAUGUGACAAAGCUCUAGGACAUGUUGAAGGCAAGUCUAUAAGGGAAGUGUAUGGCUCUAAAUGUAUAAAUAUAAAACAUGGAAAAACAAUUAUCCAUGUUUAGCACAGAUAAAUGUUUAGUGACACAACUCAAAUAGUUCGAAUGAAACAAAUACAACCAUGUUGACAAGAAAUAAUAACCAUAAAAGCAGAAAUCAACAAAACUGAAAUAAAGAAAACAAU
rnacentral:lncRNA from 1 species